rnacentral:rRNA from 1 species
GGCUUGUUGAUUAUAAUUUCAAGUCUGACCUGCUCUAUGAGUAAUUAAAUGGCCGCGGUAUAUUGACCGUGCAAAGGUAGCAUAAUCAUUAGUUUUUUAAUUGAAAGCUUGUAUGAAGGGUUUGAUGAGAGAAUUUCUGUCUCUAGGGAAAUUAAUUAGAAUUUUAUUUUUAAGUGAAAAAGCUUAAAUUUUUAUAGAAGACGAGAAGACCCUAUAGAGUUUUAUAUUUAUAUAGGAGUAAAGGUUUAAGGGAAAAAAAUUAUAUUUUUAUAUAAGUAUUUUAUUGGGGUGAUGAAAAAAUUAAAAUAACUUUUUUUUAAUUAUAACACUUAUUUGUGAGUUUAUGAUCCUGUAUUUAGAUUAUAAGAUUAAAUUACCUUAGGGAUAACAGCGUAAUUUUCUUUAGAGUUCGUAUUAACAAGAAAGAUUGCGACCUCGAUGUUGGAUUAAAAUUAAUUAUUGGUGUAGAAGCUAAUUAAUGCAGGUCUGUUCGACCUUUAAAAUUUUACAUGAUCUGAGUUUAAACCGGCGUGAG